rnacentral:rRNA from 1 species
CAAAGGCUUAGUCCUGACUUUAUUAUCAGCUCUAGCUAUACUUACACAUGCAAGUAUCCGCACCCCUGUGAAAAUGCCCUACAGUCCCCUGCUUGGGAACAAGGAGCCGGUAUCAGGCACAGUUCUAGAACAAGCCCAUGACACCUUGCUUAGCCACACCCCCAAGGGAAUUCAGCAGUGAUAAAUAUUAAGCCAUAAGUGAAAACUUGACUUAGUUAAAGCUAAGAGGGCCGGUAAAACUCGUGCCAGCCACCGCGGUUAUACGAGAGGCCCAAGUUGAUAAGCAUCGGCGUAAAGAGUGGUUAUGAACAAACCUUAAAACUAAAGCCAAAUGCCCCCAAGGCUGUUAUACGCACCCGGGGGACAGAAGUGCAACCACGAAAGUGGCUUUAUAUUGUCUGACCCCACGAAAGCUAGGACACAAACUGGGAUUAGAUACCCCACUAUGCCUAGCCCUAAACAUUGAUAAUGUACUACAACCAUUAUCCGCCUGGGAACUACGAGCACCAGCUUAAAACCCAAAGGACUUGGCGGUGCUUUAGAUCCACCUAGAGGAGCCUGUUCUAGAACCGAUGAUCCCCGUUAAACCUCAGCUCUCCUUGUUUAA